rnacentral:pre_miRNA from 1 species
AGCUAAUAGGCCUGAGAAUUUAGCUCAAACCGAAGCAAAGUGUACGGUGAGCAAAGUUUCAGGUUUAUUGGCUC